rnacentral:rRNA from 1 species
GACGAACGCUGGCGGCGUGCCUAACACAUGCAAGUCGAGCGAGUGGAGUUCUUCGGAACAAAGCUAGCGGCGGACGGGUGAGUAACACGUGGGCAACCUGCCUCAUAGAGGGGAAUAGCCUCCCGAAAGGGAGAUUAAUACCGCAUAAGAUUGUAGCUUCGCAUGAAGUAGCAAUUAAAGGAGCAAUCCGCUAUGAGAUGGGCCCGCGGCGCAUUAGCUAGUUGGUGAGGUAAUGGCUCACCAAGGCGACGAUGCGUAGCCGACCUGAGAGGGUGAUCGGCCACAUUGGGACUGAGACACGGCCCAGACUCCUACGGGAGGCAGCAGUGGGGAAUAUUGCACAAUGGGGGAAACCCUGAUGCAGCAACGCCGCGUGAGUGAUGACGGCCUUCGGGUUGUAAAGCUCUGUCUUCAGGGACGAUAAUGACGGUACCUGAGGAGGAAGCCACGGCUAACUACGUGCCAGCCGCCGCCGUAAAAC